rnacentral:rRNA from 1 species
UACGAGGGGGGCAAGCGUUGUUCGGAAUUAUUGGGCGUAAAGGGUGCGUAGGCGGUUUGGUAAGUCUGAUGUGGAAUCUAUGGGCUCAACUCAUAGUCUGCAUCGGAAACUGCCGGGCUUGAGUGUGGGAGAGGUGAGUGGAAUUCCUGGUGUAGCGGUGAAAUGCGUAGAUAUCAGGAGGAACACCAAAGGCGAAGGCAGUGUCCUGGGGAGUACCUGACGCUCAGGUGCGAAAGCCAGGGGAGCGAACGGG